rnacentral:rRNA from 1 species
AGCAUGCCCCUUACGUCCUGGGCGACACACGUACUACAAUGGUUGGGACAAAGGGCAGCAAACCCGCGAGGGGGAGCGAAUCUCAUCAAACCCAGCCUCAGUUCAGAUUGCAGGCUGCAACUCGCCUGCAUGAAGGAGGAAUCGCUAGUAAUCGCAGGUCAGCAUACUGCGGUGAAUUCGUUCCCGGGCCUUGUACACACCGCCCGUCACACCAUGGAAGCUGGCCACACCCGAAGUCGUUACCCUAACCCGCAAGGGAGGGGGAUGCCGAAGGUAGGGCUAGUGACUGGGGUGAAGUCGUAACAAGGUAGCCGUACCGGAAGGUGUGGCUGGAUCACCU